UCUGAUAGAAUGGUUCUUCUUCUUGUCUCUCCAUGUCUCCUUCCUUCACCCCUGAUUCUCCACAAUCACCUCAAGGUUUUAUGAUCAGAGAACUCUGGAAAUGAUGUUGAGACAUGAAUUUGAUUCUGCUAGAAGGAGCUUCCUCAAGAUUCCAGAAGCACUCAAUAUUCUGCCUAAAAUGAAUCCUGAAGGUAUAUAUGUGAAUAAGAAUCUUAGAUUGGACGAUAUACAAGUGCAUGGUUUUGAUUAUGAGUAUACAUUGCAAAAGACCACAUUGUAAAUGAGUUUAUCAGUUUAAGUAUCCAGAGAUUUGUUCAACUGGGAUCCGUCUUUUCCAAUUAGAGGACUGUAUUAGGAUAAGCUAAAGGGGUGUCUCUUGAAGUUGUAUUUCUUUGGGUCUAUUGAGCUUGACAGAUGCUUCUUUGGUUGUCGAAAGCCUAGAGGAAAUAGAGAGAUGUAUGGGACACGGCAUACUGGGCGAGGUCAAGCUCGUGGACUUGUUGGAUUGAGGAACUAAAUGAGGAGAGGCAGUUGGCACGGUCUAAGAUGAAGAGAAUGUUUAAUAGCUCUUUUGGUGCUACCUUCCUCGCUGAUACUAGUCAGGAAUCUGCUUUUGCCUACAACAUUCAUCAAUAUGCCGAUGUCUAUACCAGUAAACUGGAGAACUUUAUGUUGUAUCCGCCAGAAACAUGGCGUCAUGAUCCUUUCGACGUGAAGGUAAAUCUUUUGACCAGUUCAAUGUAUGUUUUGAAUUAGUGGUAACUUGGUGAAGCAAGAUUGUAUUCUAGGUUAACGAAUUGCUGAAUUUACACUCUUAGUAGGUCAGAUGUGUUUUGAAAUAUGUUAUUUAUCUCAAUGCUAGAACUUUAUGA